rnacentral:rRNA from 1 species
GACGAACGCUGGCGGCGUGCUUAACACAUGCAAGUCGAGCGGAGCGGCGAACGGGUGAGUAACGCGUGAGUAACUGCCCCCCUCUCUGGGAUAACAGUUGGAAAAGGCUGCUAAUACCGGAUAGUGGGGGAUGACUCGCGUCCUAUCAGCUUGUUGGUGGGGUAGUGGCCUACCAAGGGGACGACGGGUAGCCGGCCUGAGAGGGCGACCGGCCAAAUUGGGCUCGGGUACGACCCAAACUCCUACGGGAGGCAGCAGUGGGAAAUAUUUCACAAUGGGGGAGACCCUGAUGCAGCAACGCCGCGUUCGUGAUGCCUGCCUUCGGGUUGUAAACCGCUUUCAGCCAUGACGCGGUAGUGGCAGAAGAAGCACCGGCUAACUACGUGCCAGCCGCCGCGGUAAUAC